CUGGUAAUUUUAUUAAACAACACUACAAGAGAAGACAUAGAAAAGGUCCGGACUGCUAAAAACAACACAAAGGCUCAAGAUGGCCAAACUUAAAAAUACAAGGACGAGACUCAAACAUGGGCCCAACCAAGAACGCCCAGAAAGAAAAGACACGUAUGCUUCACGUGUACGAAGAAGAGAUUGAAAGAAAACAUGAUUCGAAACGCAGAAACUGCAUCCAUACCGCCACCGACAAAAGCUUUAUGCCGGAACUCUGAAAAACCACAGGAGACCAAUCUUAUCAAAGCCAGAAAAAAUACAUGAAUAAAACAGAGACAAACGAGCGAACCACCAAAUCAAUCACUUCAACCGAAUCAAUCACUUCACCGGAUUAAAAACACCCAAUCUGAACCACUACGACCUAAUCUCUACGGAUUGAAAGACGUCGUCGGAAACCUAAGCGUUAAACUACUGGAACCUACCGGGGACAUGACCACGAUCAAAGAAACCCACCAGCUUCAAAGCAUACACAUUCAUUGCCUAAGCCACAUCCAUCGGAGAGCGUCAAUAGACCAGUCGAGAAAUCAUCCACAACACCAAGCCACCAAACACAAAGAAACAUAACCGUCCCACAGAUCGAGAAUACUCGGGGGGGGGGGGGGGGG
rnacentral:lncRNA from 1 species